AGCAGCCGCGGUAAUUCCAGCUCCAAUAGCGUAUAUUAAAGUUGUUGCAGUUAAAAAGCUCGUAGUUGAAUUUCGGGAUCAAUUUAUUGGUCGUGCUAUUGUACGUACUGGUAUUAUUGAUUCCUACCUUCUGACGAACCAUGAUGUCAUUAAUUUGGUGUCAUGGGGAAUCAGGACUGUUACUUUGAAAAAAUUAGAGUGUUUAAAGCAGGCUCACGCUUGAAUACAUUAGCAUGGAAUAACGAAAUAGGACGUUUGAUUCUAUUUUGUUGGUUUCUAGGAUCGACGUAAUGAUUAAUAGGGAUAGUUGGGGGCAUUAGUAUUCAAUUGUCAGAGGUGAAAUUCUUGGAUUUAUUGAAGACUAACUACUGCGAAAGCAUUUGCCAAGGAUGUUUUCAUUAAUCAAGAACGAAAGUUAGGGGAUCGAAGACGAUCAGAUACCGUCGUAGUCUUAACCAUAAACUAAUGCCGACUAGGGAUCGGAUGAUGUUAAUUUUUAAUGACUCAUUCGGCGCCUUAA
rnacentral:rRNA from 1 species